GGUUGAUCCUGCCGGAGGUUACUGCUAUCGGUGUUCGACUAAGCCAUGCGAGUCAAAUGUUCUUCGUGAACAUGGCGGACUGCUCAGUAACACGUGGAUAACCUGCCCUUAGGUUCGGCAUAACUCCGGGAAACUGGAGAUAAUUCCGAAUAGGUCAAAUAUGCUGGAAUGCUUUUUGGCCAAAAGACCUCGGUUGCCUAAGGAUGGAUCUGCGGUCUAUCAGGUUGUAGUGGGUGUAACGUACCUACUAGCCUACGACGGAUAUGGGUUGUGAGAGCAAGAGCCCAGAGAUGGAUUCUGAGACAUGAAUCCAGGCCCUACGGGGCGCAGCAGGCGCGAAAACUUUACAAUGCGGGAAACCGCGAUAAGGGGACACCGAGUGCCAGCAUUUAUGUUGGCUGUCCACAUGUGUAAACGGCAUGUGUUAGCAAGGGCCGGGCAAGACCGGUGCCAGCCGCCGCGGUAACACCGGCGGCCCGAGUGGUAAUCACUUUUAUUGGGUCUAAAGGGUCCGUAGCCGGUUUGAUCAGUUCUUCGGGAAAUCUGACAGCUCAACUGUUAGGCUUCCGG
rnacentral:rRNA from 1 species